UACGGAGGGGGCUAGCGUUGUUCGGAAUUACUGGGCGUAAAGCGCGCGUAGGCGGCUUAGCAAGUUAGAGGUGAAAGCCCGGAGCUCAACUCCGGAAUUGCCUUUAAAACUGCAAAGCUAGAAUCAUGGAGAGGUGAGUGGAAUUCCGAGUGUAGAGGUGAAAUUCGUAGAUAUUCGGAAGAACACCAGUGGCGAAGGCGACUCACUGGACAUGUAUUGACGCUGAGGUGCGAAAGCGUGGGGAGCAAACAGG
rnacentral:rRNA from 1 species